ACGGGUGAGUAAUGUCUGGGAAACUGCCUGAUGGAGGGGGAUAACUACUGGAAACGGUAGCUAAUACCGCAUAACGUCGCAAGACCAAAGAGGGGGACCUUCGGGCCUCUUGCCAUCAGAUGUGCCCAGAUGGGAUUAGCUAGUAGGUGGGGUAAUGGCUCACCUAGGCGACGAUCCCUAGCUGGUCUGAGAGGAUGACCAGCCACACUGGAACUGAGACACGGUCCAGACUCCUACGGGAGGCAGCAGUGGGGAUUAUUGCACAAUGGGCGCAAGCCUGAUGCAGCCAUGCCGCGUGUAUGAAGAAGGCCUUCGGGUUGUAAAGUACUUUCAGCGAGGAGGAAGGUGUUGAGGUUAAUAACCUCAGCAAUUGACGUUACUCGCAGAAGAAGCACCGGCUAACUCCGUGCCAGCAGCCGCGGUAAUACGGAGGGUGCAAGCGUUAAUCGGAAUUACUGGGCGUAAAGCGCACGCAGGCGGUCUGUCAAGUCGGAUGUGAAAUCCCCGGGCUCAACCUGGGAACUGCAUUCGAAACUGGCAGGCUAGAGUCUUGUAGAGGGGGGUAGAAUUCCAGGUGUA
rnacentral:rRNA from 1 species